GUCCCGCAACGAGCGCAACCCCGCCGUUAGUUGCCAGCGGUUCGGCCGGGCACUCUAACGGGACUGCCCGCGAAAGCGGGAGGAAGGAGGGGACGACGUCUGGUCAGCAUGGCCCUUACGGCCUGGGCGACACACGUGCUACAAUGCCCACUACAAAGCGAGUGCCACCCGGCAACGGGAGCUAAUCGCAAAAAGGUGGGCCCAGUUCGGAUUGGGGUCUGCAACCCGACCCCAUGAAGCCGGAAUCGCUAGUAAUCGCGGAUCAGCAUGCCGCCGGUGAACUACGUUCCCGGGCCGUU
rnacentral:rRNA from 1 species